UACGGGGGGGAGCAAGCGUUGUUCGGAUUUACUGGGCGUAAAGGGCGCGUAGGCGGCCUGUGCAAGUCAGUUGUGAAAUCUCCGAGCUUAACUCGGAACGGUCAACUGAUACUGCUCGGCUAGAGUGCGGAAGGGGCAACUGGAAUUCUUGGUGUAGCGGUGAAAUGCGUAGAUAUCAAGAGGAACACCUGCGGCGAAGGCGGGUUGCUGGGCCGACACUGACGCUGAUGCGCGAAAGCUAGGGGAGCGAACGGG
rnacentral:rRNA from 1 species